AUGAGGGUCCCUGCUCAGCUCCUCAGCCUUCUGCUGCUCUGGCUCCCAGGUGCCAGGUGUGAGAUCCAGAUGACCCAGUCUCCAGCCUCCCUGUCUGCAUCUCUAGGAGACAGAGUCACCAUCACUUGCCAGGCCACUCAGGGCAUUAACACUUGGUUAGCCUGGUAUCAGCAGAAACCAGGGAAAGCUCUUAAGUUCCUGAUCAGUAAGGCAACCAUUUUGCACACUGGCGUCUCUUCGAGGUUCAGUGGCAGUGGAACUUGGACAGAUUUCACUCUCACCAUCAGCAGCCUGGAGCCUGAAGAUGCUGCAACUUAUUACUGUCAGCAGUAUAAGAGCAGCCCUCCCACAGUGUUACAAGCCAGAACAUAA